rnacentral:rRNA from 1 species
CGUAGGGUGCGAGCGUUAAUCGGAAUUACUGGGCGUAAAGCGUGCGCAGGCGGUUUUGUAAGACAGGCGUGAAAUCCCCGGGCUCAACCUGGGAACUGCGCUUGUGACUGCAAGGCUAGAGUACGGCAGAGGGGGUGGAAUUCCACGUGUAGCAGUGAAAUGCGUAGAGAUGUGGAGGAACACCAAUGGCGAAGGCAGCCCCCUGGGUCGAUACUGACGCUCAUGCGCGAAAGCGUGGGUAGCAAACAGGAUUAGAUACCCUGGUAGUCCACGCCCUAAACGAUGUCAACUAGGUGUUGGGUGGGUAAAACCAUUUAGUACCGGAGCUAACGCGUGAAGUUGACCGCCUGGGGAGUACGGCCGCAAGGUUA